UACAGAGGGGGCAAGCGUUGUUCGGAAUUACUGGGCGUAAAGGGCGCGUAGGCGGCCUUCUAAGUCGAACGUGAAAUCCCCGGGCUCAACCCGGGAACUGCGUCCGAUACUGGAAGGCUUGAAUCCGGGAGAGGGAUGUGGAAUUCCAGGUGUAGCGGUGAAAUGCGUAGAUAUCUGGAGGAACACCGGUGGCGAAGGCGGCAUCCUGGACCGACACUGACGCUGACGGAGCGAAAGCCAGGGGAGCAAAGCGGGAU
rnacentral:rRNA from 1 species